rnacentral:rRNA from 1 species
AACGGACGAGAAGCUUGCUUCUCCGAUGUUAGCGGCGGACGUUUGAGUAACACGUGGAUAACCUACCUAUAAGACUGGGAUCACUUCGGGAAACCGGAGCUAAUACCGGAUAAUAUUUUGAACCGCAUGGUUCAAAAGUAAAAGACGGUCUUGCUGUCACUUAUAGAUGGAUCCGCGCUGCAUUAGCUAGUUGGUAAGGUAACGGCUCACCAAGGCAACGAUACAUAGCCGACCUGAGAGGGUGAUCGGCCACACUGGGACUGAGACACGGCCCAGACUCCUACGGGAGGCAGCAGUAGGGAAUCUUCGGCAAUGGACGGAAGUCUGACCGAGCAACGCCGCGUGAGUGAAGAAGGUUUUCGGAUCGUAAAGCUCUGUUGUAAGAGAAGAACGAGUGUGAGAGUGGAAAGUUCACACUGUGACGGUAUCUUACCAGAAAGGGACGGCUAACUACGUGCCAGCAGCCGCGGUAAUACGUAGGUCCCGAGCGUUGUCCGGAUUUAUUGGGCGUAAAGCGAGCGCAGGCGGUUAGAUAAGUCUGAAGUUAAAGGCUGUGGCUUAACCAUAGUACGCUUUGGAAACUGUUUAACUUGAGUGCAAGAGGGGAGAGUGGAAUUCCAUGUGUAGCGGUGAAAUGCGUAGAUAUAUGGAGGAACACCGGUGGCGAAAGCGGCUCUCUGGCUUGUAACUGACGCUGAGG